GUGUGCCUACGGGGGGCAGCAGUAGGGAAUCUUCCACAAUGGGCGAAAGCCUGAUGGAGCAACGCCGCGUGGGUGAAGAAGGUCUUCGGAUCGUAAAACCCUGUUGUUAGAGAAGAAAGUGCGUGAGAGUAACUGUUCACGUUUCGCCGGUAUCUAACCAGCAAGCCACGGCUAACUACGUGCCAGCAGCCGCGGUAAUACGUAGGUGGCAAGCGUUAUCCGGAUUUAUUGGGUGUAAAGGGAACGCAGGCGGUCUUUUAAGUCUGCUUUGAAAGCCUU
rnacentral:rRNA from 1 species